rnacentral:misc_RNA from 1 species
GGACUACUAGGGUUUCUAAUCCUGUUCGCUACCCAUGCUUUCGAGCCUCAGCGUCAGUUACAGACCAGAGAGCCGCCUUCGCCACUGGUGUUCUUCCAUAUAUCUACGCAUUCCACCGCUACACAUGGAGUUCCACUCUCCUCUUCUGCACUCAAGAAAGACAGUUUCCGAUGCUAUUCCUCGGUUAAGCCGAGGGCUUUCACAUCUGACUUAUCUUUCCGCCUGCGCUCGCUUUACGCCCAAUAAAUCCGGACAACGCUUGCCACCUACGUAUUACCGCGGCGGCUGGCAC